UACGAAGGGGGCUAGCGUUGUUCGGAAUUACUGGGCGUAAAGCGCACGUAGGCGGAUUUGUAAGUCAGGGGUGAAAUCCCGGGGCUCAACCUCGGAACUGCCUUUGAUACUGCAAGUCUCGAGUCCGGAAGAGGUGAGUGGAAUUCCUAGUGUAGAGGUGAAAUUCGUAGAUAUUAGGAAGAGCACCAGUGGCGAAGGCGGCUCACUGGUCCGGUACUGACGCUGAGGUGGGAAAGCGUGGGGAGCAAACAGG
rnacentral:rRNA from 1 species